rnacentral:lncRNA from 1 species
GGGGCGGCCAGGCGGGCAGGGCUCGUGUGGGCCAUGCUGAAGUGGCCCCCCACAGCACCUCACCACCCCUGGAAAAAACUGCCUGUGUGAUGUUUUGAUUUUCUUCUUAAAUACAUCAUCACAGGGAGGUAUUUUAGUGGAACUCAACUUUUCCUCCUGGCUCAUUUGCCAAGAAAAGACCUGGUAAAGCAAUGUCAGUAGCUCUGCUGGAGCAAAGCAAUAGCUCUGCUCCUGCAAUCGCAGAGUAGACUCCUAAUUAUGGCAUGAAGACAUUUUAUAACAAAGACAUAAAAAAAUACCAUUUUUAUUAGCUGUUCACAUGCCAGCUAUAAUUAAUUCUACACAGGGAAGUUUGCUUUCAGUUCAUUUGAACACAUCUACUCUUAACCUGGAUGACCGACUAAUUUCUUAUAAACCCAGUCAUGGAUUAAUGUUAAAAAGAUGCCUCAGAGAGGAAAAUCCAAGCUCCAAGUGCAAGUGCAAUGCAGUGUUCCUAGAUGGAGUACAUGUUAGAGCCACUUCUUGAGCCAGAAAUGUGCAGUUUUCCUCCUGCAAUGUGAUUUUUUUUGUCAGUAAUUUGGCAUUAGCUUCUUCCAUACUCACUUGUGAAACGCCCUCAGGAAUGACAAAUAGUUUUCACUUUCCACUCUUUAAAACGGGGAUGGUAAUUCUUCACUCAGGUGUGGAUGUGGCCUCAUGGAAAGGCUAGAGACCAUAUUUUGUACAGUUUGUUUCCUUUGGGUUUGCUCCAUCCUGUGUUUUCUGACACUGAGAUGCUGAUGGGAGAAGGAAGAGGAGCAGAGUCCUCUUCCAGAUCGUUCACCUCAAAUUUACCCUCCAAGCCUUGAAACUUCAAGUUUUCAUGGUCUGUGUGAGCUUCAGAUGGACUUCAGCUUGAGAGAAAGGAGUAGGAGCAGCAGCAGCAAUCGUGGUUCUAUACGGGUUUGUGGUUUUGUUUAUUUGGAUUUUUUUUGAUAAUUUGCUUUUGCACUUCAGUAUUUUCCUUUUUAAAUACCCUGCUAUUUAUUAUGCAAAGAGAUUGUUGUGUAUUGUGGCAUGAGUAGGACAUGUACAAAAUAACAGCUGAAUUAAAGUGCUGGUUUGUAGACCAGACUGCAAUC